CCAGGCCUUUUCAAACCAGAGUCUCCCUGUCACCCAGACUGGAGUGUAGUGGCUUGAUCUCAGCUCACUGCAACCUCUGCCUCCGAGAUUCAAGUGAUCCUCAGCCUACUGAGUAGCCGGGACUACAGGACAGAAGCUCCCAGCAGGGCCUGGUCUCCACUGUGGGUGCCAGCAGCUGGGACCGCAAGGCUGAACGGAUGAGGGGCCAGCCAGGCGAGUGCUCGACCUGAACUGGAAAGGAUCUGGCUUUUCAAGAAGAGAACAGGAAGGCAAGGCAUGGAUCCAGGGCCCCACACGCAGGUACAUGGUAGGGACUGAUG
rnacentral:lncRNA from 13 species